UCAAUGACAAGUAACUUUUUGGCAAAGAGUAUCGAAACAUAUAAGUUAGAAAAAAAGAAAAAGAAAAAUUCAAGCAAAAUGUGGUCAUUUUUACGUUUACACACACACACACACAGACACACACCGUUAGAGAUGGUUGUCGGCUUGCACGAAAUGUAGAAGGAGGAUGCUCGAGGUGGCGUUGACCGCAUUACCAACUGCCAAACUGACCAGAAAGGCAAAAGGAACUGACCUCAGCCUCGGCAUUUUGGCUGAAAAUAGUUUUUGUUUUGUACCGAGAAUAGAAAGCUGGGCAACAUUUAGCUACCAGUUACCAGUUACCAGUUACCUGGCCAUGCCACGCCCCCAUUUUACGAGCAACUACAACUACUACUACUACUACACAGUUGCAAUUUCCAAACGAUGUUAGAUGAUUUUCCUUUUGUUUUAUUUUCACUAUUUUCUACCCAUUUUGUGAUUUAUUCCAGAGAACGUAGAGAGCGAUAGAGAGAGAGGGAGAAGAAACUUGUGCAUAUAUAUAGUUUGUGUUUUCAAUGCCUGUCAGCCCAGAGAUGCACAGGUGGAGAAGGAGAUGGAAGCGUAUGAAGAGGGCUGGGACGUUGGUAUUCGGUGGUGCCAACUAUCCAAUGACUGCAGCUUGAUUCUGUUGACCACUGGCCAAAGUGCUACGGCUAAAUCGAAGAAGAAGCCACAUCUUGGGUUUGGUCAAGUGAGUGAACAUAAUGUCUCCUGGCCCUUCCCACCACUCUCUGGCUUCACUUGGCUUCGUUCAUCUUGAACGAAAUCCCAACAAUUUUAAUGGCAACAGGAAAUAGAAAGGUGUCAUAUAUCUAAUACGAUAUGUAUAAGUAAUCACUGUUUUUCUAUGGCUUAGCUUGGCAUCUUAAAGCGUCAUCUUCAAGUCGGCCAAAGAGAAGACCAAAAUGAGAAAAAAUUCAUUUAACUCAAACACAGACAGUGAGAGAGAUAUAUUGUGACAGAAAGGACUUGAUUAAUUGCAAAAUUUUCAACACAACACAAACCGAAAUAGUUGCUAGAGAAAUUAAUGUAAAUGUUUUCAAUACUUAAAAUAUUCGAUUAUUUUGGCACGGUAAAUCCAACGUUAAAGCGUAAAAAGGGAGAGAAGAGUAAAUAUCCCACAGGAUUCCAACUGGGCUAGAGCAGUCGCUGAGGCAGCCGAAAUUAAAUUAAGCAAAUGCUGGCAAACUGUCUGGAACACAUACACACGCACACGCACACGCACACAGAGGCACACACACAUGCCCACACACGCACCCAAGGAUUGAAGACAAAAGGGAACUGUAAAGAGAGUAAAACUGAAGUGGGAAAUGGUGGAAAUGGUUUUUCGGAUUGGGAGUCCUGAGGCUUGGCGCGUGAGAGGGACUGACAUGGAGUGUGAGAAGCGAUUUCUGUAGAACUGGUCGUUUUUUGCUGUCACGCGCGCUUUGUUUGCCAUUUUGAAAAAUGCCCAAUGCACACACACACACACAGUGCAAAGGGAGAGUGUGUGGGAGAGCUCUCACGAUUAUGCCAUAACUGAAAUUCAGGCUUUAAAGCUAAGCAAAAAGGCUUACAAAAUGGGCUAAACAAGCAACGGCAAGGAAGGAGAAGGGUUUUUAGUCCCUACACAAUCCCGAAUCCGGAUUCCGAAUCCGGAAUCCAGACCAAUGCAGAACGUAACUGGACCGACCUUCUGCUACUGCUACUACUUCUGCUGUAUCUGUUUAUAUUUACGUCACCAUCAGAGAAAUACUUAACCCAUUUAUGCCAUUAAAAGGAUUUCACAGACGACUGAAGUCAAACUUCCACCUCGCCCCUCCGUCGUCCCCUCUCGGGCAAUGGUUGGUUAAUGAACGUGGCAAGCCAAAAAUAUGUUCUACAUUUUUAUACCCUUGCCAAAUGCCAAACAAAAAAAAAACUUCCUAAACUUGCCUAAGAAAUGCCAAAAAUUGUUCAGAGAGAGAGGAAGAGAAACCGUCACACAAGUCGGCAGAUUUUUUGUUGUCAAGGUCUGUUUUUUUUUUUUUUUGGCUUAAUCUAUAUAUAUGUACAUGUCGAAAUCGGAUCGUAUCUAUGGCAAUCAAAAGAUGCCUUCAUUAUGGUGGCAAAAGUCAGGAACGGGGGCAGCAAGGAGAAAACAUCCUUGAUAUAUCCGUUUGCUAACAGCAGCAACUAUUUUUAGUGCCCAAGUUUCUUAAUAAAUUUUCCAAUGCCGCUUUUUAUUAUUA